UACGGAGGGAGCUAGCGUUAUUCGGAAUUACUGGGCGUAAAGCGCACGUAGGCGGCUUUGUAAGUAAGAGGUGAAAGCCCGGAGCUCAACUCCGGAACUGCCUUUUAGACUGCAUCGCUUGAAUCCAGGAGAGGUGAGUGGAAUUCCGGAGUGUAGAGGUGAAAUGCGUAGAUAUGUGGAGGAACACCGAUGGCGAAGGCGAGCCCCUGGGCCUACACC
rnacentral:rRNA from 1 species